GCUUCAGAGCAGGAGAAUGUCCUGAGUCCGAUUGCACAUCUUCAGGCCUGUGCCUGUAUCCCAUCCACGUGAAUUCAGAAAUUGAGUAGCUGCAGCAGUCACGGUGGACGCUGGGUUGAGGGUACUCCACCCAAGAACAUAAACCUGUCUUUUUGACCUUGUAAAUAUAGAAAGGCGUAUUUGUCCAUUAAAAAAAAACAGGAAUAUUUAUCACCUUUGCUUAAAGGAGACUUUGCAAGACCUACGCCUAAUUUGUCCUGACUUUGGAUUCUAGUCUGGAAGGAGUACUGCUGAAAAGAACUGGCCUUUGGUGCUCAUGGGAAAUGGAUGAGAAGAGGCAGACAUAUUAUGCUAGAUACAGAUUUCUUUUCUUAAUAUGCGGAACAGAUAGCAUCAGCCAUAACAAAGAAUAGAGAAGAUACUGUCUCUGCCCUGCAGGAUUACAGUGACUAUAAUGUGCUUUUCAGUUCCCUGGGGAACACACAGGCAAAAUUAUUUUGCGUGACAAUGAUGUCUUUUAAGAUACCCGUAGCUUGGCCAGUUUUUAUCGCCUUUGUCUAUAUUUAGAAGAACUCAUAAUAAUGUUUCUAAAGGCCCUCGUAAACAUUCAUUCCCUACAAAUCUAAUGAAUACAUUUCUGUAUUAGGGCAGGAGAGGACGGCAAACACCUCGUCAUCAUAAAAAACGGGUCAUUUUAAGGAGAAAAAUAGAUGGAAUAGGAAAAAUAGCCCUCUAUCUUCGUCUGAUAUAACUAAUAUUGGGGUAUAUACUACUUUUAAUUUAUGCUAAAUAUAACAUACUAAAUAAUAGUUUAGUAUAUGUUAGUCCAUAUACCUUUAACACUGGGAUAUAUACCGGUUUUAAAAUACCAACUGGAGGCGUUGUGGCUCAGCUGAUAGACUUCAUGCCCAUGCCAGCACCAGAACCCCUGGCCAGUGCAGUCCCAGCACUCAGGCCGUGCAGAAGGAGGAUCAGAAGUCCAAAGCCAUUCUUAGCUGAUGAGUUCAGGAUCAGCCUGAAUACGUAAGACCCCGAUUAAAACAAAACCAGCCAACCAACCAACCCAACCCCAGUGUCUGAGGGGUUGACCCCCAUGAUUUACUUGGAGGCCUUUUCUUCUCCCGUUCUUUCUAGAAGCCUGGAUAGGCAAUACUCGGUGAGCAGCCAAAGACUACACUAGUGUGAUCAGUGGUGGUGACUAAAGAUAAUGUCUGACUUAUCACACUGGGGGUCUGCAAUAAGCUUGUUGGGCACACGUCUAAACAGGACAUCCAGUUACUCUCAGGAAAGGGCAGCAGGAUGACCCAAGGUGGAGGUGAGGAGGGGAAGAACAUCUUUCUGGAGGUCCGCCAUCAGAAUGGCUUCAUCUAGUGAGUUUCCCUCCGUCUUGCCGAACCGCCAUUACUCCUGUGCAUAUGUGUGCAUUCGUGUUGCUUCCUGUCACGCAUUCCUUUGAGAGACUGUUUGGGGGUGGGAAGGUUGAUUUCUGCUCACAGCUUCCAGAGUUCCAGACCAUGGUCUGUUACCUCUAUUUCUUUGGGCCUGAGGUAGGGCAGAACGUUGUGGUGGAGGGGACUGUGCAGUGGAAGGGCUGCUCACCUCCUCACAGCCAGGAAGCAAACGUUCUUCUCUUGUAUUCUAUCUGGGCCCAGCCUGUGAGGUGCUGCUGCCCAUAUCCAGGGUGGUUCUUAUCCCCGUAGCUAAUCCUCUCUGGAAACGCCCCAACAGUGUGCUUUACUAACAACCUAGAUGUCUCUCAACCCGAUCAAGAUGAAAAAUCAACUUGAUACCAGUGUUCCUUUAUCUCAUUAAAUAUAUUUUGGAACAAAAGUCCACGUUUUUGUGUUCAUGGAAACACAUAUCAAAAAUGAAUAGGGGGUAGCCCUGAAAAAUAUACAGAAUGGAAAUAAGACGAUUACAUUUCUACUACAUAUUGUUACUAACAGGCUCAAGGCUGAGCCUGAGGUAUGUACUAUCUAGGAUAAAAAGCAGAGAUGUGUUGAAAUAGCCUUACACUCGACUGAAUUGUUCUGUAUCUUGCAGUAGAUUGUUGAAUGCAAGGUGCAAGAAGCCAAUGAGAUGACUCAGUAGGUAAAGGUGCUUGCUGCCAAGCCUGGGGACCUACUAAGUUCAAGUACUUGCUGCCAAGCCUGGGGACCUACUAAGUUCAAGUACUUGCUGCUAAGUCUGGGGACCUACCAAGUUCAAGUACUUUCUGCUAAGUCUGGGGACCUACUAAGUUCAAGUACUUGCUGCCAAUCCCGGGGACCUAAUAAGUUCAAUCCCAAGACCCACAGAAUGAGAGGAGAGAACAGACUACUAUAAAUUGCCCUCUGACCUCCACACACAUUAGUUAAUUAAUUUAAAAACAUGCAAUAGAAGAAAGCGCUUCUUCAUUGUGGCGCUCUGCCCAAGACAGCCACGACCGGGAACCAGCCCAUUCUUCACCCACCCUUUGCAAUCCAGAGAUAUCAUGGCAGAACGCAGACUAGCAAUGGCUACCUUACACGAGGUCAACUAACUUGGCUCUUUUUUAUGCCCAAGUCCCUUCGUUGCAGAAGUGGAAAGAACUGGAUCUUUGUGAUUGCGUGGGGGGAAGAGUAAGGGAGGGAGGCUUCAGAAGCGCUUAACCCAGUGUUGGGAUCAACUUAAGCAGCCAAGGUGUGGCUGAUUAAAGGACACCCCCGCCCCCAUUUCCUUAGGCAGCAGGGUAGAAGUAGCCUUACAAAAUGUACAGGUGACCCCUUCACAAACACCUUUGGGAGAAAAAAAAAGACCCAAAACCCAACAUGAUCAGCCAUGCUUAAAUUGGAAAAGUCCCCAUUCCCAAGACAAAGGAGACAGCAGCAAGGAAAAAGGAAACGCACCUAUAAGGAAGCCUGGCUGUGUCAUCGGUUAUUCCAUGACUACACCUGAGUGUCCCAAACGCUUUGCAAACUGCUCCAGGCCUCCAUCACCCUUACCCUCUAGAGCUGGUCUGGCGGGUCUGCUCCAUUGAACAGUAGCGCCAUGUCUCCCGCACUGCAAGGUGGAAACUGCACAGACAUCUGUGAUCCUUCCCUGGACCUUAGCUGCAAGUGAAGCCAGCACUGUGCCUACAGUCAGCGCUACACAGACUCUGGGAUUGAUGGAGGAUGGCCCAGCCCAUGGUGGGUGGUGCCAUUGCUAGACUGGUGGCCCUGCAUCCUAUAAAGAAGCAAGCCCAGGCUUCCUCAGCUUUUGUGCAGGCUAUAUGCUACCAGGAUGGGACAACUCCAUGUAGUCACGCACAUGAUCUCUGGAGCCAAGGAAAUACCAAGAUAAUGUGACUUUGAUGGUACCUCACAAAGCCUCCAUCUCCUGGAAGGUGCAGUAAGAAGCAGAAACCAACAUGGCUGAAAGAACAAAGGCAGAGCCAGUCAUGGUGAGGGGGCAGGCAGCACGAAUGGGACUUAGAAAUGGAGCCAAGGCACCAAGAUAACAGUCACUCUCUGGCCUGCUUUAUCAACAUGAAGAGACACUGAUACACAUCCUUCAGGGAACACAGAGUCUGCCACUCAGAGGGAACCAGCCUCACUCACUGAUUAUCUUCCCAAGGUGUCAGAAUUACACGGGAGUGGGGAGAACAAUCAGUUAAGCAGGAAGACAUAAGACAGUGCUCAAAUAGACGUAAAAACACAUGGGGAAAAGGUGCUUACUUCGAAUGGAUAUUUCUCCACACAGGGGAAGAAAAUCAAAGUUUUGCUAUGGGUACAAAUGGGUAAAAUGCUAUGAAAUAUUUUAGUAAAAUAUUUAGUGAAAUAUUUUAGUAAAAUAGAAAAUCAAGAUCUGAAAAAAAGAGCCACUCCGAGAAAACCAGUUUUACGUUUUAAGCCAUAUCCACCCUGACUUGUGUGUGUGUGUGUAACACGUAUUUGUUUUCCUAGGUUUGAAAAUGCAACCAUGCUUAUAUGCUGUUUCGGGCCAAGAGUGGAUAUAAAUUUUGUGACUCUAAAGCUUUAAACACGGGAAGGCUUUAGGGAAAUAUUUGAAGGUUAUGAAUGCAAACACACUAGGGAGAAGGGCUUUGCAAGCAGGGAGUUCUGGAAUUUAAGCUCUAUUAUCGUGAUGAAUAAAGUACGGUACUCAGUAGAC
rnacentral:sRNA from 1 species